CUCCGCCGCCGUCCACCGCGCGCUGCCAGCACCGCGGGGCUUGCAGGAGGCCGCCGGGAGGGGCGGGCGCGCGAGCAGAGCACGAGGAGGCGGAGGCGGGGGAGAAGUGAUGCUGGCGCCAGGGAUCCGGGCAGCGGCAGCGGAGAAUAAGCAUCUUCGGGACCCCGGCUGCAGCGUCCCCGUGGCCCGCGGGCCAGCCGAACGGCCAGAGACGGCGCGUCCCGCGGAUCCUGUGCACUUAUUAAGUCGAGAUAAUUAACAGAGUGGAAUCCAUUCACCACAUCAUCUGACUAGAUCUGUUAGAACCACGUCAAGGAUUGCUGAGUCCAGGAGUGGAGAAAGGUUUAUGUGAGAAAAGAGAUCCUACUGUCGGAAGAAUGCAAGCGAUUUCAUCAUAGGUAACAGCCGACUCCUACCUUUGCUUUUAUGUUGUUCGGGAGUUACUGAAACGUGUAUAAAGAAGGAUGACAACACGGGAAACAUGAAGAUGAUCGGGGUUGGCUUGUAACAUGUUCACUUUCGUGAUUAUCAUGUUUACUGCGAAGUAGGUCGGGAGUCAGUACUCAGCAGGUACUGUCUUCACAUUUGAAUCCGGGUGACUCGGUAAAGCCAGCGUCCAUGCAAAGCAGUGAGCUGACCACUUCGGACUUAAGUCAACAGUAGGAAGGACUGUGACGUUUUUCCCAUGUGAAACCCAGAAGGCUGCUCACAAGAGCAGUCAACUGGCACAAGCGAGAAACUCCAGGGCUGACACUGUUCAACCUUAGUGCACUGGCAUACGACAGAAGUGGCGAGUUCUGUUGAGGAGCAGUGGACAUUGUACUUUUUGAGUAUUUCCCAUGUUUCCCUGCUCUCUUUAUCCUUUCAUGAUAGGACUCCUGACUUAGAGGAAUCGAUUAAACAAAAAUACUUUGGAGUUUCAAUUUUCGGUAGAGUUAGUUGUAUCUAAACAUUGCCCCUAAUCUUGAGCUUGUCCCAAGAAAUUUGACCAUAGUAUUCCCCGCUUCAUCUCCAGCACAUGCUCCUUCGGAGGGAUCACAGACAUGGCUUAGUACGUACAAGAUCUCUCCUCCUCUGGCUCUGAAAUAGCACACAGCAAAGUCUGCCCUAAAGGUGAUGAAGACAUCAUUGUCCAUUACAGUUGUAUUUUUGUCAGACUCUUUUCCACGUUUAAGCGACUGUAGAUGAGUCUUGAAUCUGUUAUCUAUGUAGCCAUUCAGCAAAAGCUAACGGUUUCAAUGACCAUGGGGCACAAUGCAAACCCUGACUGAAUUCAUUAGUAUACAAGGCUUGAGACUCAGAGGACCUGUACCCUGCUUCUGCUGCUUACCUCGCUUCCACUUAAGUAAUAGGAGCUGUCACCUGACACACCCUAUGGUAUUACCAUGAAAUAUGGCAGAAGAGGUCUUCAUCACAAGUUAGAAGUUAUGUUAUCUUAGCAGUACUCU